rnacentral:rRNA from 1 species
UACGUAGGGUGCAAGCGUUGUCCGGAAUUAUUGGGCGUAAAGAGCUCGUAGGCGGUCUGUCACGUCGGCUGUGAAAUCCCGAGGCUCAACCUCGGGUCUGCAGUCGAUACGGGCAAACUAGAGUGUUGCAGGGGAGACUGGAAUUCCUGGUGUAGCGGUGAAAUGCGCAGAUAUCAGGAGGAACACCGGUGGCGAAGGCGGGUCUCUGGGCAACAACUGACGCUGAGGAGCGAAAGCGUGGGGAGCAAACAGG